GCGCCCGCAGAACCAUAGCCUACGUAAUUGCGUCACCACACAAAGCGAUGACGUCAUUCACACAUGGGAUUCGUUUCUUUGAGACAAAGAACAUCAUCUGCUGUUCCUAACCUGCCAGCAAUUGCUCUUUCAAAUGGACUCUCCUGUGGCGUGACCCCUUGUGGAUAUAUUGGAGUUGGACGCUGGACAAUAAAUACUGGAGUGGAGUUAAAGCUUUACUUGCUGCUCAAAAUGAGGAAUGACUGAAACUGUCCCACAACAAACUGUGAUCCAUUGUCACUGAUGAAGAGUUCUGGAACACCAGUCCUUGAGAAGAGGCUUCUCAACACAUCAACAGUGUGCCGAGUUUUGGUGGAGGCUGUUGGGAACACUUCUGGCCACUUUGUAGCUGCAUCCACUACCACCAGGAAACUUGUGUCCAUGAAUGGCCCAGCAAAAUCUACAUGAAUCAUCUGCCAGGAUAAUGCAGGCCAUUUCCAGGGAUGAAGUGGCAUUGCUCUUGGCAUCUUCUGCAUAUGUUGGCAUCUCAAACAGUGCAUGGCAAGCUACUCAAUCUGCUGAUCUAUGCCAGGCCACCAGACAAAGCUUCAAAUCAAUGCUUUCAUUUUGACUAUGGCAUGUAGCUCCUCCAACACUUUAUCUCUCAGCCUGGAUGGUACAACAACUCCCAAUCCCCUCAUGAGGCAACAUCUGUCAAUCACCCUGGGCUGGUAAAAAUGGGGGAACUGGAGUUUCUGCUGCUCAUUCCAGCCAUUUUAGGUGGCCAUCUACACCUGAGACAGUGGGAUCAUUUCUGGUUUCUCUUUGGAUCAUCUCUGCCAUUACAGGAAGAUUUUCGAUUUGCAUUUAGGAGAAUAAUUCAAGAGGGGUGUCCUCUAUAAAUUUUCAGGUAUUUCCUUUUCCAGGGGUAAACAUGACAGUACAUCAGCAUUUCCAUGAUUAGUCCUAUUGAAUUUGAUCUUGUAAUGGUGUCCUCUAAGCAACAGAAACUGUGUCUGUAUUCAUGCUGCUGCUGUUAAUGGAAAACCCUUCUGUGGAUUGAAAAUGAAUACCAGUAUUUGAUGAUUAGUAAUGAGGGUAACCUCUCUCUCAUAUAGGUAUUGGUUGAAAUGUUUUAUACCCCAAACCAGACUCAAGGCCUCUUCGUCAAUUUGUGCAUGUUCUCUCCGUAGCAGUAAGGGAACAUGAUGCAAAGACAAUGGGGAGUUCACUUCCAUCACUCAUAACACUUGGCAUGACUGCACCUAUACCAUAAGCUGAGGUGUCAGAGGCAAGCUUCACUGGAUGAUGUCGAUCAUAACGUGUGAGCACGGUGUCUGACAUCAUUGCUUCCUUUGCACCCAAUCUGUAGUAAUGAGUUCAAGGGGUUGAUCACAGUCGUCAGGUAUGUCAAGAGCCUACUAUGGUAAUGGACAGAUCCUAAAAAGAACCACAACCCAUGACUGAACCUUUGACCUGGGGCUUCCAGCACUGCUUGAAUUUUCUCAGCACACUUGUGUAAUUCUUGUGCGUUAAUGGUGUGACCACAAUAAGUGAUGUUUAGUUUAAAUAAAUCGCAUUUGUUGCAUCAUGCUCAUAAUCAUUUUAACACUGCCUUUAUAUUUUGGAGAGAUCAUCCUUACCGGGUAUUGCUAAGUGUCUGAGCAACCUUGCAGCACUUGGUCUGUAGCUUUCUGCCAGAGUGCGGGUGCAGAUGCUGCU